CCAAAUUUGUGUCACAGAGGAGUCACAAGGAGCUGCACCCUGCUCAUGUGAACCUUGUCAAAAUUAUCGUCAGCUUAUCAAUGAAGAUCUACUCUUCAUUUGUAAGGAGCAGAUUGAUUGAAGACAAGAUAUUGGUGAUAUGAAGUGUGGUGAUAAAUUGCAUCAGGACAAAGAGAUCAGGUCACAAAUCUGUUGUGGCUGAUACUGUAACAAUUGGACAUGCCUCAGUUAGACAUGUCAACGAGAGGAGAAAGACCCUGCUCUGUGAGAUUCAGCUACUCUACUUAGAGUUGACAGAAGCAGCCUCCUCUACUUAGGGCUACAAAGGUUGGAGAUAUAAAUGUCAUAUGGAUGCAUCUGAUGGGGGAUGACCCUGAAGGAAAUGUGGCACAUCACUUCACUGGUGCCUUAGUGGUAGCUCCAGGCAGACAGGAGCCAAGGACUGUGUGUCUCCUGCUGAAGAAUGGUGCCAGAAUUUUCCAGGGCUACAAACUAGGCCUCACACCUGUGUGCAUAGUGUUGCAGCUAAGUUUACAAGGCUGUUCCAGGAGGAUCGGCGUGUCGGCACUUCGGCAUUUGUCCACUGCUUAUUGGCUGGUAGAUGAUCAAGUACAUUUUGACCACAGAGACACAUGAUUCCUGGAACUGAGGUUAUCUUAUCCCUCUCUUAUCACGCGAGAACCAUAGUUACUAACAAAUAUACUGCUGGUCUGGUGAAGCAUUUCGAAGAAGCAAGUUUGCGCCACCAGUGAGACGUUUCUUGAAGCAGUCACAAAGCAUUAGAAUAUAUAUGUGUUAUGCUGUUGAGGCAGCAACAUGCACUCAACCGCGAAGCUAACUCAGCGGUGCAUGCCUAGCUUGAGAGGGGAACAAGGGAUGAUUCUGGCCACAUGCACGGACAUGGUGCUGCUGGAAUAACAAGGUUGCCCACCAAUCAGUGUGCUGUGCAGUGCAUGGAGGAGUGGUUGCCCAUGAGCAAAGCCAACAACACCAACACUUGCCGCACUCUCAAGGCUUCUUCCGAGUUGUCAUGUCCCAGCUACUCUGCACAGGUGUUGCCACUUUGUUAAUUCCCAUCAUGAUUAAUCGCUGAACAUGUAUUUAUAUAGUAUUAUCUUUUCUUGGGAUCAUCUUGUCAGAGGCUACUCUUCUCUCUCUAAUCUGUCUCUCCCCUGGUAUAGUCUAGUGGCUUCUAUGUGACGUGAGGAGUGGUGGCCCAACAAGCAGCCACUAAUUAAUCAAUGGUGGUGAUUAGCGAUCUCCUCCUCCCGCUGCAAGUGAUGACAGUGCGAGCUACUGUCGAGUGUCCCACUACUACUUCACUCGUCAUCCAUUUCCAGGCAACUCAAUCCUCUACUGCUGGUGUUUGUGCAUGGUGGGUGUCCAUGAACAGCACCACAUGUUCCAUCUCUCCUACAUAUUCCCAACCACUACAUAUAUAUUUUUUCCUUGCAUUUUUCUCUCUACUGGCAUAUUUCAUGCAGUUUCUGUUCUCACAUAUUAUGGUACGAACGUGCCCACAUCAUGGUCGAUGGUUACGGGAGCCCAACAUCCACUGCCUCACCGGCCAACACAUGUUUACACACUGCUUAAUGUUCAUGACACAUACUGGUCAACCAAUUAAACAUUUUCUCUCCAUUUUGAUUAAAAAGGUGCAAGUACACCAAUCUUUUUGGUUUUGGUGAAGCCUUGAAAAUUUAUACCAAACUUUUGUUUUCUGCCAAUUAAGCAGCUACAUGUCAAGGUUUGUAACAGACAGGUCACAAAUCUUAGUUGAACUAAUCUGGUGCGUCACACCGACCAAGCUUGGUAAUUAAGCUGAACAUUUAUCACAUCUAUGCUAACCUGACAAUUUACAGUCAA